GCCAGGCGUGGUGGCUCACACCUGCAAUCCCAGCACUUUGGGAGGCUGAGGCGGGUGGAUCACUUGAGGUCAGGAAUUUGAGACUGGCCUGGUUAAUGUGGUGAAACCCCGUCUCUACUAAAAAUACAAAAAGUAGCUGGGCGUGGUGGCGGGUGCCUGUAAUCCCAGCUACUCGGGAGGCUGAAGCAGAAGAAUUUCUUGAACCUGGGAGGCAGAGAUUGCAGUGAGCCAAGAUCGCACCAGCACACUUUAGCCUGGGCAACAGGGUGAGACUCCGUCUUA
ensembl:misc_RNA Metazoa_SRP Metazoan signal recognition particle RNA